UCCGAAUUGGUGUAGUGGCUAACAUUUGACGCUCUCAUGAUUGCGAUCUAAGGACCGUCAAGCCCGGGGUUCGAUUCCCCGAUUCGGAG